CCUACGGGCGGCAGCAGUGGGGAAUAUUGCACAAUGGGGGAAACCCUGAUGCAGCGACGCCGCGUGAGUGAAGAAGUACUUCGUUAUGUAAAGCUCUAUCAGCAGGGAAGAAAAUGACGGUACCUGAGUAAGAAGCCCCGGCUAACUACGUGCCAGCAGCCGCGGUAAUACGUAGGGGGCAAGCGUUAUCCGGAUUUACUGGGUGUAAAGGGAGCGUAGGCGGCAGUGCAAGUCUGGAGUGAAAGGCGGGGGCUCAACCCCCGGACUGCUCUGGAAACUGUACGGCUGGAGUGCAGGGGAGGUAAGUGGAAUUCCUGGUGUAGCGGUGAAAUGCGUAGAUAUUAGGAGGAACACCAGUGGCGAAGGCGGCUUACUGGACUGUAACUGACGUUGAGGCUCGAAGGCGUGGGGAGCGAACAGGAUUAGAUACCCCUGUAGUC
rnacentral:rRNA from 1 species